rnacentral:tRNA from 1 species
GGAGAGGUGGCUCAGUGGUUAAGAGCACUGACUGUUCUUCCAGAGGUCCUGAGUUCAAUUCCCAGCAACCAUA